UUGACACGGGGUGCUCUCUUC
rnacentral:piRNA from 1 species